GUGUGUAGGAGCUGUACAGUGGAGGCAAAGACUGUAACAUCCUGGCGUGGGUUCCUGUCCUCCGCGCCUCAGAUGUGGAAGAAGAGACGAGUCGAGAAAAUAAGGGUGCCGCCGGCCAGUCCUCGGUGAACCCUGCCUUUCAGGACGCGUGGAGCAGUGAUGAAGACUGAUGUAGAUGUUUUGAAUAUGUGGACAGAGUGAGGUGACUGAGCAUGCAAAUAAACUCGCAUCCAUCACAAAUACUGUCAAGGGAAACCAGUGGAAAUAAUUGUGGGUUUAGAGAAGCUGCUGACGCUGACAAAAGCCUUAAAUCUUAAGUGAAAUGUGUACAUAAUUGUCUGACUUUGUGUUUUUUUUCAUGUGUUUUUUGUACAUUUGAUAUCACGAUGCUUGCUAUUGUCACUUUGCUUUUUUUUUUUUUUAAAUUGAAAGUAAAUCCAACAGUGAGUUUCACAUUGUUGAUUCUUCUUAACCUGUUUCCAAGCAAUUCAUCAUUUGGGGGUAUCUUCCAUUAUUUGUGCAAAAACACAAAAUGAAUUCAUCUGUAUUGCAGGUAUUAUAAUGACACUAUAUUGUACAUUUUGUAAUAAUCAUGAAAAGUUUUGGUAAACAGCAGCAUUUCUAAGCUUUUUAAAAA